rnacentral:rRNA from 1 species
GACGAACGCUGGCGGCGUGCCUAAUACAUGCAAGUCGAACGAACCGCGACUAGGUGCUUGCACUUGGUCAAGGUGAGUGGCGAACGGGUGAGUAACACGUGGGUAACCUACCUCAUAGUGGGGGAUAACAGUCGGAAACGACUGCUAAUACCGCAUAGGACAUAGGAUCACAUGAUCCAGUGAGGAAAGGUGGCGCAAGCUAUCGCUAAGAGAUGGACCCGCGGUGCAUUAGCUAGUUGGUAGGGUAAAGGCCUACCAAGGCGAUGAUGCAUAGCCGACCUGAGAGGGUGAUCGGCCACAUUGGGACUGAGACACGGCCCAAACUCCUACGGGAGGCAGCAGUAGGGAAUCUUCCGCAAUGGACGCAAGUCUGACGGAGCAACGCCGCGUGAGUGAAGAAGGUCUUCGGAUCGUAAAGCUCUGUUGUUAGAGAAGAACAGCGAAUAGAGUAACUGUUAUGCGUGUGACGGUAUCUAACCAGAAAGCCACGGCUAACUACGUG